GUGCUCGCUUCAGCGCAUGUAUGCAAAAAUUGGAAUGAUACAGAGAUUAGCAUGACCCCUGAGCAAGGAUGACAUGUAAAUUCAUAAAGCGUUCCAUAUUUUU